UACCUAUAAAAUGACAGAUGGGCAAGUGAUGAAUAAGCUUCAUGAAGCACCUAUAGUCCUUUUGAGGUCGAGAAACAAUUAGUUCGACAUGAAUGUAUUUGAAUUGCACAUGCAUAAUCGAAGAUUUCGUAGGAUACUUUUGGAAUUAGUUCCACAGGAACAAUUAAAGCUAUCCAUUUCCUAAGAAAGAAGCAGGUAAUAAAUUUUCCACGCAUGGCUCAUAAUAUAAGUUUUCAAGCUCAUUGUAAUUUUCACUGCCUAACACGGCCUUUGAAAUAAACUUUGCAGCAUGCAGGAUACUUCCGGUGAAUUAAAUUAUGCUUGAUGAUGAUUCAUGCAUUUAUAUAUCCAAAGAUUUUUAUAUGGGACGAAGAGUUUUACUUGAUUCCUUUUCCUUCAAACUUCUUAAAAUACAAUAUUUGCAUUUUUUUACUUUUGCUCUUCAAAAGUUUGAUUUGUCAUUUAAUUCCUUUAAAAGUUUUGUAUCGACAUAGGUUGCUGAAUACCAAAGUGCCUACAAGGUUAGAAUUUAAAAGUGCAUUAAUUUUUAUAUAAUUUUGAAUCUUUACUAUUUUUGUCUCUACUGGAAAUUGGAAGCAUUGCAAAGGUAUGUAUUGAAUUAAAAAGUUUAUAUGAAUAUUUUCAUAGUUUGGUUGCAAGAACUAGCAAAACUAUAAAAAGAAAGAGGUAAAAAGAUUACACAUUAGAUCAAGUACGUACAAUUUUCUUUGGUCUUUGCCUUAAAAGUUAGAAUUUUGUAGAAAUUACGUUCUCCUAUAUAAUAGUAUGAUUACGACAAUUA